GGCCCAAAUUUGAAGUAGAGCAGAUUAAAAAGAUCACCUGACCCUACUAAACUAUUCUACUUCGAGUUUUUGCCC
rfam:Haemonchus placei strain MHpl1 genome assembly, scaffold: HPLM_scaffold0001487